UAGGGAAUCUUCCGCAAUGGGCGCAAGCUUGACGGAGCAACGCCGCGUGAGUGAUGAAGGUCUUCGGAUCGUAAAACUCUGUUAUUAGGGAAGAACAAUUGUGUAAGUAACUAUGCACGUCUUGACGGUACCUAAUCAGAAAGCCACGGCUAACUACGUGCCAGCAGCCGCGGUAAUACGUAGGUGGCAAGCGUUAUCCGGAAUUAUUGGGCGUAAAGCGCGCGUAGGCGGUUUUUUAAGUCUGAUGUGAAAGCCCACGGCUCAACCGUGGAAGGUCAUUGGAAACUGGAAAACUUGAGUGCAGAAGAGGAAAGUGGAAUUCCAUGUGUAGCGGUGAAAUGCGCAGAGAUAUGGAGGAACACCAGUGGCGAAGGCGACUUUCUGGUCUGUAACUGACGCUGAUGUGCGAAAGCGUGGGGAUCAAACAGG
rnacentral:rRNA from 1 species